rnacentral:rRNA from 1 species
GACGAACGCUGGCGGCGUGCCUCAUACAUGCAAGUAGGACGCAGUUGCGAACGGGUGAGUACCGCGUAGGUCACUUCCUAUUAGAGGGGGAUAACUAUUGGAAACGAUCGCUACUACCGCAUACUAGUAGAUGGACCUUCUUUGUAUUAGCUAGUAGGUAGAGUAAUUGCGUACCUAGGCAACGAUACAUAGCCGACCUGAGAGGGUGAGCGGCAACACUGGGACUGAGACACGGCCCCGACUCGUACGGGAGGCAGCAGUAGGGAAUCUUCGGCAAGGGGGGGAACCCUGACCGAGCAACGCCGCGUGAGUGAAGAAGGUUUUCGGAUCGUAAAGCUCUGUUGUUUAGGAAGCGGUACUUAACCAGAAAGGGACGGCGAACUACGUGCCAGCAGCCGCGGUAAUUC